rnacentral:tRNA from 1 species
GGGGCUAUAGCCAAGCUGGUAAGGCAUUGGACUGCAACUCCACGAUCGCCGGUUCAAAUCCGGCUGGCCCCUCCA